UAGCCUGCAAGCCAUUUUGAUAAUCUGAAGGAUUAUUUUAAUAGUAGUUUCAUAAUAGAAGACUAAUAUAAAUACCAGUUACAUUUAAUAAAAUCUCAGCAUAUGUAGAAGCUGCAUUUCAGAGUAAAACAAUAUAUAUAACUCUUGGCAAGAUCCCACCUUGAAAAGCUAGCACAAUCAGCCAAUGAGAAUCCAAAAGAGCCUCUUUUGGGAUUGGAAAGAACCGCCCAGGAUUGGUUAUUUUAUCCCUACUGAAGGGCCUGAUUCUUCACUGCGGAUGCAUCUUCCACUCCACAUUACAUAUUGAUUUACAUCUGUGCAAAAUGGGUGUAAAAUGCAGCCAUAUCAGAAUGGAUCCACCUCGCUCACAUGGAGAUGACUACAGAAAUCAGUUCAGCUUAUCUCAGGCUCACAUCAGCUUUAGGACUGCUCUAAGGUACAUGCAGCUGUAAUGAUCAUCAAAGGACUAUUUCACCACUGUCUGUCCCCUCCACUGCCCUGGGCAUUCCCAUUCCCCCUGCAGCCAAGGCGACAAUGCAUCCUUCAGGGCUGAGAGCUUGGCAGGUAUAAAGCUGGCUAUGCUGGUUCUAUAUCACUGGAGCACUCUUCCAUGGUGGGAGAAUCCUCAACUGGCCACUUAAACCAAUUGAAGUCUGUUUUGCACAGAAGCCGUCUUAAUGGGGGUCAGGCCUGGUUAACUGUCUGUAGCAGAUCUAGUUCCUCAUUAUUUAUUCGCAGUAGAAGCUUAUUAAUUCACACCACUGACUGAGAACACCAUUGUGAAAUGGUGAUUUUUGUGACUUGGCAAGUAAAUCAAACAACAAUUUAAAAAAAUCAAGGGUACUGCACCACAAAAUGUACUUUGUUCCUUUGUUUGACAUUUGUAGUUUCUUUACAUUACUUCCUUAUACUCCGAUAAGUGUUUUGUAGUUGUAAAAGUUGUAAAAAGUAGUAAAGGCUCAUUAAUACAAGACAUCAGUACAGCAACUGCUGUUAAUUAAGAAAAGACCAACAUUUCAUGUGUGAAAAUGAUAGGUUGUACAGAUUAGUGAAGGGUCUGAAUUAGUCACCUCCUACUGUAUUUUCAGAACCUUUCCAGCACCUAACAAUGUGCCUAACAUUUUAUUUUAAAUGGACUGUUAAAAUGUGAGCCAUCCUAGAAAUGACAGAGUAGUCCAGUGUUGCACUGUGUGCCACUGUUUUAUCUGAUAUGUAUUGCUCAUCAAGAUCUACUUGUUUAAACAUUGAUCAUUUUAUAUAUGUGGUAGGGUGCCAGAGACAUAGGUAUCUAAUAAGUUGGGUAGAUGCUACAACACCAAAGUUGAAGAGAGAGACAGUUCUGCCAUCUGUACUGUGAGGAAGAUGGGGCUUUUCUGAUAAAAUAUACUUCCAAUUGCAGUCACUUGAUAUUAUGGCAAGGAGAUCCCCCCCCCAAAAAUCUGCAAAGCAACCACACUGUCCUCCUUCAAAUAUCUCCUUAAAGCUCAUCUCUGCCACAAUGUCUACAAAAAGCCCAACAAUUGUUAGGCACCUAGUGUGCGGUGACUGCUGCUUAUUGUGUUGAUCAGAAUUGUUGCUUUGUGUUCCCCCUUCUCUUUCUUGUAUCCAUCUAGUGUCUCUCACAUUAUAUGUAGACUGUAAGCUCUGUGGGGCAGGCACUAUCUUUUCAUUAUGUUUGUACAAUACCUACCAACACAAUAGGGCCCUGGUCUCCAGCCACUACUGCAAUAGAAAUACAGAUAAAACUGACAAUUAGGGAUGUAUGUUUGAUUUAACUUCUCCUAUCACACUCUGUAAGUGCAUGUUCUUCACUUACACAGUACUUCAGCCACAAAAAUCAGAAUCAAAUAUCCUUAUUGCAGUUUAACCCAUGAAAAUAUUCAACAUCUAAGAUCUUUUCCCCCCACUUUCUGGUGGUUCAGCAGACAUAUCAAUAUUCUUUUUCCUGUACAAGUGUCUCUUAUGAUGGGGCUAAAGGUGAAAAAUAAGGCAGUGCUGAAUUCCAUUUCAAACAUCCUGAUGUUCUCCCUGCUGCUCUGGUCAACCUGGCUUUGGGCAAUUUAACAAAUGCUUUCAAUUUCUGUAUCUCUGCCCAAGAACAGUGAAUUCUACAACUGCUGUUCUGUGAGGACAUCAGAGGGCUGUAUCAGACCCUCUGGAGAUGAUGGGAAAGUGUAAACAGGUCCAUUUGCAGCUCAUUUGCUAUCAGUAUAAAAAAAAAGUGAAAUGACAAAUCUUUGAUUGAUUGUUGGCUCUCCACAAAUUCCUACUCUGUGGUAACAGCAUUACAAAUGAGUUAUUUCAGGCAGGAGCCUGUGGCUGUUUGAUAAAAUGCAGCAGUUCUGAUAAUACAUUUAACACAGACUUGUUAGAUAAUUUUCAAAGACAGACAACACUAGGUCAAAUUCACCCCAAGUAUAGCUUCACUGAUCAUUUUUAAAGGAGUCAGAGAAAUUAUUGUAGGAAAUGUAUACAUUUAGACUUGACUUUCGUUUUACAGAAUCUAAAGGCAAAUAAAAUUAAUGGAAUCUGAAAUUAUUAACAAGAAUACUUGCAAUAUCUAAGUCUGUGCACAAUAGCUAUGUUUUCCUUAGAAGCAUGGUAAAUGGAAGCUGACCUGUCUCUCUGUAGAGUUGACUCAGGACAAAAUUUUGCCAGCGGAUAUAGCUUUUCACAACAGAAAUAAUUAAGUGCUUUCUUCAGAAUAAAAUUAUGAAUUGGCCCCCGACUUAGAAUUUGCCAGUUUAGCAGCAAAAUCAGCUUUGAGCAUUGAAAUGAGAGUUUUCUGCCUUUGGUAAGAGCCUUUCAACUCCAUUGACUUCUAUGGGCUUUCACCAGGGAUAAAUUUGGCACUGUAUUUAUAAGGACAUGAGAUUUCAUACAGCUGUAUAUUGUUCAAAUAAGGUUAUACAGGCUUUAUGGAAAGAAGCUAUUUCACUUUCUAAUUCACCUGAUGAAUCAGAUACAAGAUGAAAGUAAUAACAGAUAAUCCAGUUUGCUAUUACUGACAUAAUACAAAGUCUAUGCUGACACAUUACAUGGGUACGCUGCACUGAAAAUGAAAGAUUACAGUAACAAUAUGCACAACUGUUCUCUUCUGUAUUAUAUUAACAUGUCUUUCAUGCCAUUGCAAUGUAAUCAGUCCUCAGUAUUUUUAAUUAUAGUCUAUUUAGUCAUGUAAAAAUUGGGUUCGGUUUCUCAGGAAAAAAGGAAGGCUCUUUGUAGUUCAUCAAAAGUGCACAUUGCUGCGUGAUGAACACUGUUGACAAAUUAAACUACAAGAAGCAAAACUUAAAAGAUAUGGGGUCAGCUCCUCAUCUGAUAUAAUCCCUAUAAUUCCGUUAAUGUCAACACUUCUCUGAUUUACAUCAGCUGAAAUUCUGGGCUAGGAUGAAGUUUGGGUUCAUUGCAGGACACACUUUAUCCAGAUAUCCAAACCACAUAAGCCUCUAAAACUGAUCUAGGAAUUUUGUAAGAAUAAACAUUUUUUCAGAAUUUCUAGUUGUUCCUACUUCUGGUAGGCCUUCAUGGUAAUUCAUCACCCUGGGCUCACGACUACCUGCUGUGAAAACAAUUCCCACUGAUGUUAAUGGGAGCUAUUGGCAUUCAGCCCCUUCCGGAGUUGCUUAUCACCUUGGAAUACUGAGCCCACGGUGCACAAAUAAACUAAUAAACUAACCAGUUGUGAUGGACCCAGGAUACACAAGUCAGAUCCACAUUCAAAUCAGAAUGUUCUCAUACCUCAAGGAUGUUUGGAUCUUGAGUUUUGGGUAGGCUGCAUUCACAUUUGUAGGUCCAACUCCUUAUUCACUUUUUACUCAGUCCUUACUCAGCUAGAACUCUUGCUGAAGUCAAUUCUACCUCAUUCUACUCAUGGUAUGUGCAGGAUCUGAACUUGGGACUAGUCUUUACAAGUGCAAUAUAGAGAUUGUGCUUCUCAGCAGUUGGAGAGUGUAGUCCUCCUCCUCCGGUCACACCUUCCUUCCUUUGCAGCAGACCCUGCCCAUACCAAAACCAUUAAGUGAAAUUGUAAAGGCUGUGGGGAGGGGGGAUUGCCUCAUCUUACAAUUAUUCAAUGGGCA